AGCCUUGUCGGCGUCGCCGAGCGCCCACGGGCAGGGAAUCCGGUGAGAAUCCGGAGCUGACGCGCAGCGGUGAGGGUGACACCGGAUCAUCAAGCCACUGGGCGACCUGCCCGGGAAGGCGGUCCGGUGGCAGAACCCGAGUCCGAAGACCGAUCGGCGAUGGGCACGCGAA
rnacentral:ncRNA from 2 species